rnacentral:misc_RNA from 1 species
UCUCCGUUGGUGAACCAGCGGAGGGAUCAUUACAGGACUCGCAAGACUCCUUCACCCUGUGAACCUCACUACAAACACGUUGCUUCGGCGGGUGUCCCGGCGGGGGUUUUCCCUCGCCGGGGAGCACAGCCCGCCGGCAGCCUACUAUACUCUGUCUCUGUGCGUUGGCAUCCCGAGAAAAAACAAACAAGUUAAAACUUUCAACAACGGAUCUCUUGGUUCUG